rnacentral:rRNA from 1 species
ACACCGGCAGCUCAAGUGGUAGCCGCUUUUAUUGGGCCUAAAGCGUCCGUAGCCGGUCUGAUAAGUCUCUGGUGAAAUCCCACAGCUUAACUGUGGGAAUUGCUGGAGAUACUAUCAUGACUCGAGGUCGGGAGAGGCUGGAGGUACUCCCAGGGUAGGGGUGAAAUCCUGUAAUCCUGGGAGGACCCCCUGUGGCGAAGGCGUCCAGCUGGAACGACCCUGACGGUGAGGGACGAAAGCCAGGGGCGCGAACCGGAUGAGAUCCCCGGGUGGUCCUGGCCGUAAACGAUGUGGACUUGGUGUUGGGAUGGCUUCGAGCUGCCCCAGUGCCGAAGGGAAGCUGUUAAGUCCACCGCCUGGGAAGUACGGCCGCAAGGCUGAAACUUAAAGGAAUUGGCGGGG